GUGAGUCAUCGAAUCUUUGAACGCACCUUGCGCUCCUUGGUAUUCCGAGGAGCAUGCCUGUUUGAGUGUCAUUAAAUUAUCAACCUUCCAGCUUUCAUUAGCUUGGUUAGGCUUGGAUGUGGGGGUUGCAGGCUUUCACUGAGGUCAGCUCUCCUGAAAUGCAUUAGUGGAACUUUUGUGGACCAUCUAUUGGUGUGAUAAUUAUCUAUGCCGUGGAUGUAAAGCAGCUUUUAUAUAAAGUUCAGCUUCUAACUGUCCUUUCACUAGGACAAUUUUGACAAUUUGACCUCAAAUCAGGUAGGACUACCCGCUGAACUUA
rnacentral:rRNA from 1 species